AAAGGGGCUUCGGCUCCGAGUAAAGUGGCGCACGGGUGAGUAACACGUGGGUAACCUGCCUCUAAGAUUGGGAUAACUCGUCGAAUGAUGAGCUAAUACCGGAUAAGACCACAGUUCCCGCGGGAACAGGGGUCAAAGGUAGCCUCUGCUUGCAAGCUAUCACUUAGAGAUGGGCCUGCGCACCAUUAGCUAGUUGGUAGGGUAACGGCCUACCAAGGCAAAGAUGGUUAGCUGGUCUGAGAGGAUGAUCAGCCACACUGGAACUGAGACACGGUCCAGACUCCUACGGGAGGCAGCAGUGGGGAAUAUUGCGCAAUGGGCGAAAGCUUGACGCAGCAACGCCGCGUGAGUGAUGAAGGCCUUCGGG
rnacentral:rRNA from 1 species